UAUAGGAUGGACCCGCGUCUGAUUAGCUAGUUGGUGGGGUAAAAGCCUACCAAGGCCACGAUCAGUAGCCGACCUGAGAGGGUGAUCGGCCACAUUGGAACUGAGACACGGUCCAAACUCCUACGGGAGGCAGCAGUGGGGAAUAUUGCACAAUGGAGGAAACUCUGAUGCAGCGACGCCGCGUGAGGGAAGACGGUUUUCGGAUUGUAAAGUUCUGUCGCAGGGGAAGAUAAUGACGGUACCCUGUGAGGAAGCACCGGCUAACUAC
rnacentral:rRNA from 1 species